AGGGCUAAAGAGGAACUCUGUUGACGAUGCUGGGCUCUCCCAGGGCAUAGCCAGGCCUGGCGGGAAUUUCAGGGGAAGAAGGACUAUUCACAGAACCUGUUCCCUUCCGACCCCUUAGGAGCUACAAACCCCUCUGGGACAGGCCCUGGUCCCACACCAAACUGUAAGAAUGAAAAACUGGGUAACUCACAGCCAUUCUGUGCUCCCCCACUCAAGUGCCUGCCCGCCCCCCCCUCCCGGAUGUGGUGAGGCCCAGCUGCACGUGGGCCCCCCGGGACACUCCUGCGUUGGGGGCGAGAAAGUUGGUAGGUGGCUGAACUGAAGCAGGCGGGUGGGGACAGUGUUCAGAACCCAGCCUCCCAAAUCUUUAUUGCCCUGAGCCAAUCCUCUGCCUUUACUAAGACCCUUCCAGCAUCCCUGCAGAUCCUUUGUUUCUUGGAGGCCUGUGGCUAGAACCUGUGGGGACCCCUAACAUAAGGUAUGGUAGGUAUAUAGGUGCUCGAGCAAAAUAUUAUGCCUUUCCUCUUGAUUUGGGGAACUUGGGGCUUGUGGGGGAUACAGAAUGCCAGGGAGAGCUACGAGGACUCCUGGACCAGGAGUCAUGGACUUGUGUCUCAGUGGCACGGUCAUGCAAGUUGGUUCCAGGGCCACAGCCUGGGUCCCUUCCCACCAAGCCUGUCUGGAGGCUGAUACAGCACAACUGGCAGCCCAGCCAGGGAGUCUGGACCAUAGAUCCCUGAAGCUGAUAGGGGGCUCUUAUCCUUGGCAUCAGCCUCACAGAUGACUUAAUGGCUGAUUCCAGGGACAAAUUACAGAGCAUGGAGGGGGACCAUCAUGUCUAGUCUUGCUGAACAGAGUCACCUGCCAUGCCUGGAGCCACAGCCUUCCAGCUGUGGAGAAGAGGGGAGGCCCUGCUAGCUGAGGUCCCUGCAGCAGGAGUGAAAUCAACUUAGCUUUGUGGGAAACUCCAGCCCCUGACUCCAGUGCUGAACUGAGCUGCUGGGCCCCCUGGCAGGGUGAGAGUGUGUCCCUCAGAGUCUGCUGGGUGCCUCAGUCUUUGCAUAUGAGCCAAUGCGGAUCUGUCACACAUACACCCCAAAGCCACUGUCCUUGGCGUGGUACCCUUUUCAGCUCUGACAAACACAGAUGAACUCAAAGAAGCCAAACUGAACCAUAAAAGAGGAGCUUGCCUUCAUCUUCUGCUGGAGUCCCAAAUCAGGGGGAAACCCCCACCUUCAACACCUGAUGAAAGUCCAAGGCUGGGGUAGAAGAGCCCACAUCCCUCCCCAGCUCCUGUUCUGACUGAAGAUCCCCACCCCCCAAUGCCGCCACCAAUGAGUCAUCUGUAGGUUGUCUGCCACCCCUUGCUACCUCCUCAGGACCCUGUUUGUCCAGAACCAUUCGCUGGAAGCCUGCCAAGAGGAGAUAGGACUCUGGACAUCGGCUGGGGAUAACAUGAGAUGGGGCCCCAGCCAGGAUGGCUGCUGGCACAGGCUGCCAAGUGCCUCUUCACUAGACAGUAAGUGACCACACGGUUGGUUUCUGUUUAAGGUUGUUCAUGGCCUGGCUGUUACAGAACAGACCUAACAAGUGAGUUUGAGGCUCAGGUUUUAUUUAUUUUUCUUUCUUUAAUUAAGACCGUGUGGGACUCAUUUGGAAGAAGUGAUGAUUCCCUGUGUUGUUCUUUUCUGUAACCAUUUAUUUGGAUGGCUGCUUAGACGUCACUGGCCUUCUGCCUUUGGGAUUCUGGUUUGUCUGCUCAGUCUGCUUGCCCCAUGGAUUUCCCUUCCACAGUCAGAUGCUCCAGGCUCUACCCUGACCCUCUUUCCCUUCCUCCCCAGUCCAAGGCCAGCCUCAAGUGGAUGGCCCGGGUGGAAAGGAGAUGUGAGUGACUGGGCAGAGAGGCCUGAGCCAGGAGAGUCAUAAAGGCCUCCCACCAGGAUGCUAUGCUGCAGCCACCCCCAUAGGCUCCUGUCGGGCGAAGACCUGAACCCCAGGCCCUGAGCUCAGCUGCCAUCACAGUCUUGCCAGAAGGUCACAUGGCCAUUCAAUCUCCUGCUGGGGAAGGUGACUCAGGAAGACCCAGAGAUCAUGCUGGUCAGACUGUAGACGGGGAUGUGGUAGAAGGGACUGGCAUGUCCGACAUGUCUGUCAGAUUAGUUUACGGGGGCAGGGGCAGAGAGAUGUAGGCAGCUCUACCAAGGAGGCUCCCCUGGAUCCUCCCUCAUGCUGAAUGUGGGUAAGAGGGGCCGGCCACCUGAGCUCUGGGUCCCUCUUGUGCCCAUGUGGUCCUCUGAUGUGCAGAGGCAGCAUUCUGAAUAGGGCACUGAAGAACUCCAAAGCACACAGUAAGGAAGUUCUACGCUUUUCAAAUCCCUUUCAAUGAUCCGACUCUGUCCACUUGUGGCUGGCUAGCUUUGGGGCCCCGUGACCUCCACUCUUCCUCCUCGUCACCAAUGCUCAGGUCCCUCACCCCUGCACUCAUUCAGUGACUCAGUCCUGAGAACUUGAGUGCCAGUCCUGCUUUGGGGGUGGGGAUCUAGCAGUAAACCCCUAGUGACGCAUGCCUUCAAGGAGCUGACCUCAUCCCAGAAAUACCUGCCUUCUCGACCAUGUUGUAUUCGUGGCGGGUGACACUAUCCAUUAGAGUAAUGGUUAUCUUUUUCCUUUUAAAAUAAAUGCUAGGGUUGUAAAAGAAAAUCAAGUCAACUUGGGAAAGCUAUUAGGUAAGACCCAGACGGUUCCCAAACACUUUGUAAGCGAUGAUGCGGGUAGGAGACACCAGAGUGGGAACACCUUGCCCUGGAGGGCGCUGUCACUGCCCCUUCCAGUGCGUUGUGUGCAUUGUGUGAUUCUGGAGAUCUGGCUCUCCCCAUGGCUAUGGUCUCCUGUAAAAACAAGAGCAUGAGUCACAGGGGAAGGGGGAGCACAAUGGACAAUGGUGAGCACCCUCAUGGUCAGGGCAGAGUCUACACCGUGACCCGUGUGUAUCCAUGCAAGGACUGGGGUUUUGCCUAUGCCCCUGCCUGUGUCUGGACAUGGCUGGAGGGGACGCCCCCCAGUACACCCAUCAUCUCCAGCAUAUAUUGGCCUCUCAAGCCUGGAUGACCCCCUCCCCAUCCUCCCCCAUCUCCCAGUUAACUAACCCCACUCCCAUGCUGGCAGCCAGAGGCAUCUGUGGCUCAGGCACAGUGAAGGAGUGAAGAGCAGGCUGUGGAGGAAAAGCUGCCACCAAUGUACAACCUCACAAGCAACUCAUUCUCAGAAAUGUCACCAAACUGAGUUCCAGGGUGACAAGAGGACUCCUGGGACUCUGUCAUGACCAGAGCUAGGUACACUGUGCUGGGAGGCAAAGGGAUUUCUAGGUCCUGAGGAUUUAGAGACUUCCAGGAUCGGAGACCAGGCUGGGCUUCCCAUACCUCCCGGAAGACAGACAGACUGGUGGCAGUGGCAGCAGAGAUGACAGAGGCAGGUGUAAGAUAACUCAGUCAGCCACAGGGGCUCUGGAGUCAUAUGGCCUUGGCUGAAACACAGUUGGGCUGCUCAAUUAGUGUGGAUUUUAGGCAAAUGCUUUACCCUUUUCUGGGCCCUUUAUAAAGGAAUCAACAACUAGCAGUAUGUUAGGAGCCUUAUAGGCACUGCUAUGUCUAAGCUUCAUCAUAGCCUACUGAUCUCUGUCUCUUGGAGACAGAGAAACUGCGAUGGCUUCAAUGCAUUCACACAAAAGUAUGCCUUGGGGCUGGAGAGAUGGCUCAGUGGUUAAGAGCACUGACUGCUCUUCCAGAAGUCAUGAGUUCAAAUCCCAGCAACUACAUGGUGGCUCACAACCAUCUGUAAUGAAAUCUGAUGCCCUCAUCUGGUGUGUCUGAAGAUAACUACAGUGUACAUAUAUAUAAAAAAUAUAUAUAUAAAAUAAAUCUU
rnacentral:lncRNA from 1 species